UACGAGGGGGGCGAGCGUUAUUCGGAAUCACUGGGCGUAAAGCGUGCGUAGGCUGUUCUGUAAGUUGGAAGUGAAAGCCCAGGGCUCAACCCUGGAAUUGCUUUCAAAACUACAGGACUCGAAUUCGGGAGAGGAUAGCGGAAUUUCCAGUGUAGCAGUGAAAUGCGUAGAUAUUGGAAGGAACACCAGUGGCGUAAGCGGCUAUCUGGACCGACAUUGACGCUGAGGCACGAAAGCGUGGGGAUCAAACAGG
rnacentral:rRNA from 1 species